rfam:Ictidomys tridecemlineatus contig096541, whole genome shotgun sequence.
UGGGGUGUAGCUCAGCGGUAGAGCAUUUGCCUUGUAAGCAUGAGGUACUGGGUUCAAUCCUUAGCGCCACAU